rnacentral:rRNA from 1 species
UUGCGCAAUGGGCGAAAGCCUGACGCAGCGACGCCGCGUGGGGGAUGACGGCCUUCGGGUUGUAAACCUCUUUCAGCAGGGACGAAGCGAAAGUGACGGUACCUGCAGAAGAAGCACCGGCCAACUACGUGCCGGCAGCCGCGGUAAUACGUAGGGUGCAAGCGUUGUCCGGAAUUAUUGGGCGUAAAGAGCUCGUAGGCGGUUUGUUGCGUCGGCUGUGAAAACCUGAGGCUCAACCUCAGGCCUGCAGUCGAUACGAGCAGACUAGAGUGUUGCAGGGGAGACUGGAAUUCCUGGUGUAGCGGUGAAAUGCGCAGAUAUCAGGAGGAACACCGGUGGCGAAGGCGGGUCUCUGGGCAACAACUGACGCUGAGGAGCGAAAGCGUGGGGAGCGAACAGGAUUAGAUACCCUGGUAGUCCACGCCGUAAACGUUGGGCGCUAGGUGUGGGGCUCAUUCCACGAGUUCCGUGCCGCAGCUAACGCAUUAAGCGCCCCGCCUGGGGAGUACGGCCGCAAGGCUAAAACUCAAAGGAAUUGACGGGGGCCCGCACAAGCGGCGGAGCAUGUUGCUUAAUUCGAUGCAACGCGAAGAACCUUACCUAGGCUUGACAUGCACGGAAAUCCUCCAGAGAUGGUGGGUCCGCAAGGGUCGUGCACAGGUGGUGCAUGGUUGUCGUCAGCUCGUGUCGUGAGAUGUUGGGUUAAGUCCCGCAACGAGCGCAACCCUCGUUCUAUGUUGCCAGCACGUCAUGGUGGGGACUCAUAGGAGACUGCCGGGGUCAACUCGGAGGAAGGUGGGGAUGACGUCAAAUCAUCAUGCCCCUUAUGUCUAGGGCUGCAAACAUGCUACAAUGGCCGGUACAAAGGGCUGCGAUACCGCGAGGUGGAGCGAAUCCCAAAAAGCCGGUCUCAGUUCGGAUUGGGGUCUGCAACUCGACCCCAUGAAGUUGGAGUCGCU